CAUGAGAUAGUUGAGGUGGGGUAUCUGGGAAUGAAACACGUUAGUCACCUCCUGCCUACAGCGCUCACCACCUGUCCACCUCACUGACAGUAGUAUCCAUCCUCCACCUAUAAUAUUCUCGACCCUUCCCUCUCUUGGCUGAGCAAAUUCUCGGAAACUAAACUACCGAUUACACCCAUGGUCAUCUCAUCGACAUGAUCUACGUACCCAAAAACUCAAUCAUUUUCUCACCCAUCACAGAGAAGUCAGACAUGGCCACGGGAUAGAAGCCAUUGAUAUUCUCAUCUCCAUUCUAGUAUCAAAAUCAAAGGUUUGGGCUUUGGAGUCUAGAUAGAUUGGGACCAGUUCACAGCUACGGUCUGAAAUUGAGGAAAGAUAAGAGGAGUGGAGCUGGAUAUUGAUCGAAAGACUCUGGCAAGUGAAAGGUUGAGAGAGAUUUUUUGGGUGAAGGCUCAUUGACUGGGUAUUGAUCAAAUUCAGGAUUUCCAGUUACCCAAGGCUUGAGCAACAAAGGUGGAAACUCAGAGAUUUCUUGAGUGUGGAUUCCAGGAAUUUUGCAGGAGCCAGCUGAGGAUCAGGCCUAGACACUUGGGUGUUGGCAUCGUAAAGUUGUGAUUAACUUCUUUUGGACUUGACUGUCAGUUUGGCAGGUGUUGAUCAAUCUCCCUCCUUUUGAAAUUGUGAAUAUGAUAUUGCUUUGUUGUGGGAAUCUUUGUAAAUUUGUUAUUAUCCGCCUGCCUAUCUUUCGGUGUGUGUUUUACUUACUGUGAACUUGUAAUCCGAACCUUGGACUCGUGACUUUUGUGGAAUGUAAAUAAAGGACUCUUUUGUUGUAAAA